rnacentral:rRNA from 1 species
AAUGAACGUUGGCGGCAUGGAUUAGGCAUGCAAGUCGAGCGAGAAGAGUUUUGAAGCUUGCUUUAGAACCCGGAAAGCGGCGAAAGGGAGAGUAACGAGUAGUUAUCUACCCCAAGGCCCGGAAUAGCCAGCCGAAAGGCUGGGUAAUGCCGGAUAAUAUCCCCGGAUCAAAGGUGUGAUUCCGCCUUGGGAGGAGACUGCUUUGUACUAGCUUGUUGGUAGGGUAAUGGCCUACCAAGGCUACGAUGCAUAGCGGGCGUGAGAGCGUGGCCCGUCUCACUGGGACUGAAACACUGCCCAGACACCUACGGGUGGCUGCAGUCGAGAAUCUUCGGCAAUGGGCGAAAGCCUGACCGAGCGAUGCCGCGUGCGGGAUGAAGGCCCUCGGGUUGUAAACCGCUGUCGUAGAGGAGAAAGGUCUCGUGAAGAGCGAGAUUUGAUCUAUUCUAGGAGGAAGUCGGGGCUAAGUUCGUGCCAGCCGCCGCAGUAACAC